UACGUAGGGUGCGAGCGUUGUCCGGAAUUAUUGGGCGUAAAGAGCUCGUAGGCGGUUUGUCGCGUCUGCCGUGAAAAGUCCGGGGCUCAACUCCGGAUCUGCGGUGGGUACGGGCAGACUAGAGUGAUGUAGGGGAGACUGGAAUUCCUGGUGUAGCGGUGAAAUGCGCAGAUAUCAGGAGGAACACCGGUGGCGAAGGCGGGAUCUCUGGGCCGAUACUGACGCUGAGGAGCGAAAGCGUGGGGAGCGAACAGG
rnacentral:rRNA from 1 species